UACGAAGGGGGGCUAGCGUUGUUCGGAAUUACUGGGCGUAAAGCGCACGUAGGCGGAUAUUUAAGUCAGGGGUGAAGUCCCGGGGCUCAACUCCAGAACUGCCUUUGAUACUGAAGAUCUUGAGUUCGGGAGAGGUGAGUGGAACUGCGAGUGUAGAGGUGAAAUUCGUAGAUAUUCGCAAGAACACCGAUGGCGAAGGCAGCCCCUGGGCCAAUACUGACGCUCAGGCCACGAAAGCGUGGGGAGCAAACAGG
rnacentral:rRNA from 1 species